AGAGUUUGAUUCUGGCUCAGGAUGAACGCUAGCUACAGGCUUAACACAUGCAAGUCGAGGGGUAGCAGGGUAGCAAUACCGCUGACGACCGGCGCACGGGUGAGUAACACGUAUCCAACCUUCCCAUAACUCAGGGAUAGCCUUUACGAAAGAAAGAUUAAUACCUGAUAGUACUUUUUCAAGGCAUCUUGAGAAAGUUAAAGAUUUAUUGGUUAUGGAUGGGGAUGCGUUCCAUUAGAUAGUUGGUGAGGUAACGGCUCACCAAGUCUUCGAUGGAUAGGGGUUCUGAGAGGAAGGUCCCCCACAUUGGUACUGAGACACGGACCAAACUCCUACGGGAGGCAGCAGUGAGGAAUAUUGGUCAAUGGGCGAGAGCCUGAACCAGCCAAGUAGCGUGAAGGAAUGAAGGUCCUAUGGAUUGUAAACUUCUUUUAUAGUAGAAUAAAGUGAUCCACGUGUGGAUUUUUGUAUGUAUACUAUGAAUAAGGAUCGGCUAACUCCGUGCCAGCCGCCGC
rnacentral:rRNA from 1 species